rnacentral:misc_RNA from 1 species
CAACCCUCACGCUCUGCGUGGUAUUGGGCUGGCCCUCCUGGGCCUGCCUCAAAGUCAGUGGCGGCUCCGUUCGACCCCCUAAGCGUAGUAAUACUUCUCGCUUCUGGAAGUCGGCCGGCGGCCUGCUAAGCACCCCCACACUUCUUAAA